AGUUUCAUCAUACAACUGACUUUGAUGAAGUUGAUAAAAAGGCCAUAAAUAUUCGGUAUCGUUAUUGUCAGAAUUUACGCGAAGACUUACGGAAAAGGUUAAAGGAUGAAUAUAUAAGUGAACUGGUACAAAAACGUGAGCGGGCAAAACUAUGGGGCAAAAACUGUACCGCUACAAGUUGGUGACAUUGUUUUUAUUAAGAGCAUCAGUCCACCUAGGCAGCAUGGUCUUAUGAUCUUAGCCUGACCCACAAAUGGGCAAAAAAAAGUAUCAGUCCACGUCCACGCUAUGUAUGUAUUGUAUGUAAACUUUGCAUGUUUUCUUCAAUUUUCCGUGUGAUUUUGCCUCAUUUGUAUAUUUUACGUGUAACAUACAGUUCCUCCACAUUGUGCAAUAUUGGACGCUUUACGACAGAGACGUUAUUUGUAUUUGUGUAGUGUUUGGUGUUUGCCGUAACGUUGCGAUAUUGAACGCUUUGCGACGGAGACGCUGUGUUUUUUUUAUUUAUGUUUAUAAUAUAAUCACAAUGCCUAAACGUCCUUUAGGAUCUUAUUUAGGAUACCCACCACUUGAUUGUCCUGCCAAAGUCUUAACAAUGUUUGUGGAUGCCGCUCAACCAUCUAUAUCAAAAAAGAAGACAUCAUAUUUGAAGCUUCAAACUUUAACACCACAGAACAAUAUAGAUCUGCCAGGUUAACUUAUACAUGCGACAUCUGCAGUUGCUGAAUUGGACACCAUUAAAUCACUCUCUUCUGAACGAAAUGUGACAGAUGUACCAACUAUAUUUCAAGAACAUAACUACAGCAAGCAGAAAUAUACAAAGGCCAAAGGAUGGCCCACCUUGCAAGCCACAAAGGUUAAAAGAUGGUCACCGUCGGACUGGCGAUAUCGAGCGGAAUUUAAAUUCUUAACAGGCUCACAAACACAAGAACUUUCGUACCAGAUUACAAAAUGCAGAGAAACUAAAUAAUGACAAUGCAUUCAGAAGAGUCACGAGGGAUAUGACUUCUUCUUGUUAACUAACUCUAUAAUAAAACGAGGCCUGGAUCAGCCCUCGCGAUCUUCGGCUCCUUCUCGAUGGUAAAGGGCGCAAAGGUAUAGGCCUCCCUUGUAUCAUCAUCUAUGUCCUCUCCACUUUGGAGGGCUGCAAGCUGUCUCUGAGCUUCCGCAAUCUGAUCACGAAGAACGGAUUCCCGACUGUUGGAAGUUAUACUUCGUUUAGUUAUCGAUUCAGCGGAGUACGAGCCUGUUUCCAUUUCUUCGUCCGAAUUAAUACUGUCUAGAACCGAUUCAAAAGACUCGUUUAAGUCAAGCCCUUUAUCUGUCUUCGGGCAGUCCCUUUUGACGCACAAUGACCAAUAAUACAAUGGUUUUUUUCGCAAUAUGACACAUUCGCAUAUUGACCUAUUAGCAUUUCUACUAAAACGCAAAAUGACGCGUACGUGAAAAGACGUAUACGUAUAAUGACUAACGGAAAAUUCGAAUUUAGACAUACACGCAAAACGUCCAAAACGCAUAAUGACGCAUUAGCAAAACUAACAAUACGCAUAAUGACCAAUACCAAAUCAUUUAUUGUCAUUAAACACGAAACAACAAAUACGCUGUUAGGUUAGCCAAUACAUAAUAAGAAACAAUACAAUAUAAUAAAUAAUAGUCUAUGAAUGGGGCAAAGAAAAUAAAAUCACACAUAAUAAUGAACGGUUUAUUAAUGGAUAUUUUUGAACUACAAAAGUAAACUUAAAAGUGACUCUGGUAAUAUUCUUACAUUAAAAUAAUAAUCAUGCAAUACGUUUCAGCCGCGAAAACACUAUCUUCCUAAGAUAUUGCAUGGUGUUAAUUUUUUUUUGCAUGCAGUUCACGCAACAAAAUAGACAGUUUCAUAUCAAAAUCGAUAUCACAUUUUCUUCGAUUU